rnacentral:lncRNA from 1 species
AAGUUUUGAGCAUGUUCAUGCAUCAUGAAUGCCAUGUGAUGAUUUAGGUUGUUUGCAUUAGAAUUCACGAAUAUGUUGCAUUGCAUACUUUACUGUUGUUGAUUGUGGAUGAAUGUUGGAUGAUCCAUAGUCCUCGAUCUAUGAUGUGACGAUGUGAUAUGAUUGGUACGGAAUGUAAGACCAGUGGGACCCAUUCUACGUUCGCUGGCACUAUGUAAGAGAAAGACCAGGACCCAUUCUACGUUCUAGCACAGUUGGACUGUUAUGUUAUGCUAUGUAAGAGAAAGACCAGGACCCAUUCUACGUUCUGGCACAGUUGGACUAUGUAGAGGGCUAUUGGUGACAAGUUCAUCCUUGAUGUGAUUAGCUGUGAUGUGAUGC